rnacentral:lncRNA from 1 species
GGCAAGCCGUGUGUGAAGUGUUGAUCAGCCUCACUGGUUUUUGAAGAUGAUCUGGUCGUGUCCUAGCUUCUCUAAGAUGGCUUGUGAAGUCAGUUGAGAGGGGGACUUCAAACCGGUUCCAUAAAGAGGUGAAGUGAAGUGUGAAGUGUGCGCAAAGCUGUGUUGGAGUUGCUGCACCUAUUAGGCCGUGAUCCAGAGCUUCUUGUGUCCAACCACAACCUGGUUCUAAGGCACAAGAGCUCACUGGCCAAUCCCGAGGCUUUGGAGAGCUCUACUCUUUUUUCCCUUGCAAGGUUUUGUCCCAAUGGGUUUUCCUUGUAAGGUUUUUAAUGAGGGAGACUCUUCAGAGUUCCAAGCUUGGCUUACGAUCUCCUAAAGUCAAGCUUGAGGGGGAGUGUUGAACUGAAGAGAAGAUAGAGCUUGUACAAUAAUAGGGCAAGCUCUAGAAGAUGUCCAGAGAGUUCAAUCAAGCUUCAGAAGUGUCCUGAAGUAGUUUAUCUUGUGAAGUUAGUCUAGGAAAGACUUAGACUGAUCAUGUGAAGAUGAAGGAGUUAGAGAGAAGAUGGCAUGAAGUGCAAAGCUUGGGAGAAUGAUAAGGCCAUGAGCGAAUCAAGAAGAGGAAUGGAUCAACUAAAGAGGAGGGGAAGUGUUGUGCAAAUUAGGGCGAGUGUACGGAUGGUACAAGCCGUACAAAGAGACCGUACAACCACCCAAGCCUCAUUCAUUUAUCCAGUUCGGCAUCAAGUCAAGUUGUGCAAUGUGUGGGCGCGGGAUAAGCUUUCUUAAGGGUCCGUUGGAAGUGCCCUUGGAGGUAAAGGAAGAUUCAAAUGAUAAGGUGAGCUGUUGGUAUGAGCUGGAAAGGUAAAGGUGCUUUACCUUUACAGCCUUGACUCAUCCUAUCCAUUCAUUCAAAAGAAGCAAUCUGAGCCUUCCUAUUUGAAUCAAUUCGCCAGCUAGCUCCAGCCAACAUCAAGACCGUCUUCUCUCAUCCUACCAUCCAUUCCUAUCAUUUAUUUACAGCCUUAAAUGUAGGGUUUAUGAGUGAAAUGUAAAGGCAUAUAAAAGCCCUUAUAUGCGAUUUUGUAAACACUCAAGUGAGUAAGGGGGUUUCCUUUCUCCUUCUCUAAUCUUCAGUCUCUUAUUCUCUCAGUCUCUCUCUAGUCUCUUAAGUCUCUUAAUCUCUGUUCUUAAGUCUCUCACAUACUCAUAAAUAUUCUCACUAAUCCUUUUCUCUAUAUCACUUAGAACAAGCUCUAAUCAUUCUUCAUUGAAGCUUAUACACACACACAUACUACCAGAGUAGAGAUCUCUUUAAAAAUCACACAUAUAUCAGGUCUUGUGAUGGUAAGAUAAAUUAAUUUGCCAACAAGUUUUCUAUAGAGUUUAGGAUCAUGAAAUGGCUUGCUGUCUUCAAUCUCCCCCUCUCUUGGUACUUUGUAGCCAUCCUCCAUUGGCAUCCUUGCUGUCUUGCCUCCAUAAGCACCUGCACCUUUCAAAAGAUCAAGUGUAUACUUCCUUUGGGACAUGAACAAUCCUUCCUUAGAUCUACAAAUCUCAAUUCCAAGGAAGUAUUUCAUUUCUCCCAAGUCUUUGAUUUCAAACAUAGACUUUAGGAAUUCCUUGGUUGCUUUGAUACCUUCCUUAUCACUCCCAGUGAUAAUGAUAUCAUCCACAUACACAAGGAGAGCAACCAUACCUGAGGGUGUCGUGAGUGUAAAGAGAGUGUGAUCCAAUUCUGACUUCUUGAAGCCUCGGCCAUUCAGAGUUGUGCUCAACUUGUUAUACCAAGCUCUUGGUGAUUGCUUCAACCCAUAAAUGGCUUUCUUUAGCCUCAGUACAUUCCCUCUCUUCACUAGAUGUUCCAGACCUGGUGGAGGAUACAUAUAGACUUCAUCCUCAAGCUCUCCUUGUAGAAAUGCAUUCUUUACAUCCAUUUGCCACAAUCCCCAUCCUAGGUUCACAGCCAAGUUUAAAACAAUCCUAAUGGUGUGUAGCUUGGCUACUGGUGCAAAUGUCUCAAUGUAGUCCUCUCCAUAUGUCUGAGUGAACCCUCUUGCUACUAGUCUAGUCUUCUUCCUCUCAAUUGACCCAUCAGCCUUGUACUUGAUUGUAAAGAUCCAUCUACUAGACACAGCUUUCUUCCCUUUUGUAGUUCACUCUCAUACCAUGUAUCAUUCUUUAUCAUAGCUCCUGCCUCAGCUCCUACUGAUUCCUUCCAUUCCUUAUCCUCCAUUGCCUCUUCAUAGCUUCUUGGAAUGUGAUUUUCAUCCAAGUUUACCAUGAAUGCGCAAUGUGCUUCUGGAUAUUGAGCAAAAGAACACACGGCCUGAGUAGGAUGCUUCACAGCUUGGGCAUUGUAGUACAUCUUGUGUUUACCCAACUGGAAGGAUCCUUUCUCAGCCUUGUACUUCUUCUCAAUACUGGCCCUUCUUGCGCCAUCUCUUGUUCUUCUUCUUGUGGCUGCACACUUGUUUCAGAUCUUUCUUCUCCUAGCUGACUUGCUUCAGCUCCUUCUUCCCUUAGCUGACUCUCUUCAGCUCCUUCUUCUUGAUCAUUUGAUUCCACAGCUUGAUCAUGAGAGCCAGAACUCUCUUCUCUACUUGUUUCUUCACGGUUUGGAGUUCUUGUUUCAUUCCCCCCCUCAUGCUCAAGGUUGGAAGUCUGAUGAUCCGGGACUGGGGUAGUGCUUCUCCCCCCUUGAUGUCCUUGAUUCAUGUUGAUUCCAAGGCCUUCUAGGAUAAUCCUCAAGGUUUCAGCUCUAUCAGAGGUAAGAUCCUUCAAGUCUUCUUGAAUCUGUUCCUCAUAAUAUCCUUUCUCUUCAACAAACUUCACUUCUCUAGAUACUAACAUUCUCCUUGUGUUAGGAUCAUAGCACUUGUAUCCUUUCUGACUUGAUGAGUAUCCAAUGAACAUUGCCUUUGAACUCUUAGCAUCUAGCUUGUUUCUUAUCUCUCCAGGCACCAUCACAAAACACAAACACCCAAAGACCUUCAUAUGCUCGAGAGAGGGCUUGUACUGAUUCAGUACCUCAAAUGGUGAUUGUCCUUGGAGGAUCAUAGUUGGUGUCCUGUUGAUGAGAUAACAUGCCGUAGCAACAGCAUCACUCCAAAACUUCUUAGGCACAUUGGAUUGAAACAUCAUGGACCUGGCUACUUCCAUCAAAUGCCUGUUCUUCCUCUCAGCCACACCAUUCUGUUGUGGUGUAUAGGGACAGCUUGUCUGAUGAAGAAUUCCAUGCUGAGCUAAGUGUAGCUUGAAUGCUUGUCCCGUGUACUCUCCUCCAUUGUCUGACCUGAAAAUCUUUAUCUUGGCAUUGUAAUGGUUAGUCACAUAGGAUUGAAAAUUUUUAAAUGCAUCAAGUACCCUAUCUUUGGUUGGAAUUAAGGUUAACCAGGUGUAUUUGGAUUUUUCAUCAAUGAAAGUUACAUAAUAAUUAUGAUUUUCUCUAGAUAGGCAAGGUGCAGUCCAAACAUCAGAAUGAAUAAGAUCAAAACACUUUUCAUAAACAGUAGUAGACUUGUUAAAGACAGUUCUACAAUGCUUGCCUAAAAUGCAAGCUUCACAAUCAUUAUUCUCAAAGGAAACACCUGGCAACAUCAGUUUUAAAGCCUUAUUAUGAGGGUGUCCUAAUCUAGCAUGCCACAAUGCAUUUUUACUUAAACCAGAACUAGAAACAGAAGUAAAUGAGCAGCUAUAUCUAGAAACAGGAGUGAGAUCUUCAAGUAAAUAUAGCUCUCCUUUAGUCACUCCCUUUCCAAUCAUCUUGCUGCUCUUAAUAUCCUGAAACUUCACAUCAUUAGGACUGAAUAUAACAUUGCAUUGCAAAUCAGUAGCACAUUUCUUAACAGAUAACAAGUUUGAUGUAAAUUCAGGCAUAUAAAAAGCUUUAGUUUCCUUAUCAAAUAGUUUAAGACUUCCUAUUCCUCUAAUAGGAAUCUUAUCUCCAUUAGCAAUUAGUACAUUUCCAUUCAUUGGCACAAUGUUUUUAAUUAAGCUAGUGUCACUUAUCAUAUGAUGAGAUGCACCUGAAUCAAUCACUAAUGGCUUAAUGUCAUGAGAACUAGCAAUAUGCGCAAGGAUACUAGAUGGUUUGAAUGCAUGAUCAUUUCUAGCAAGGUUUGCAGUCCUAGAUUGAUUUACCAUUUCUAUCAAGCUCUCAUGCAUCCUAUCAGUUCUAGUUAGAUUCUCAUAGUUCUCUAUCACCCUAGCACCAAAAGAAUACCCAAAGAUGUUACCAUUCUCCUUGAACAUCUUAAUGAGAGCAUCAAGGUCGGAUCUCCUUAGAUACUCUUGAUCAUUGUUCCCACGGUUGCUUGAUGCUCCAGUGUAGGCUACCAGAGACUUUCCAUCACCUGCCUCACGCCCAUCUAUCUCCUUUCCUUUGCUUGUACCAGCUCCACUUGUUCCAUCCGAGACAUUAGCCCUUGCCUCACGAUCCUUCAUGAACUUAGCCGGCUUGAGGUGAGGAUGGAGUAUCCAGCAUUGGCUCUUCUUGUGGCCAUGCUUCUUGCAGUGAUCACAACUCCCAUUGAACCUCCUCUCCUCAAACUUCCCAUGCGCAGCCGCAGCCUUGUUUGCUUGUGGAGCUUCACUACCUUCCUCUUGAGUUGCUUGGCUUGCAAGGGACAGGUCUCCUUUCUUUGCAAACAACCCAAUGGAGCCUUGCUCCUUCUGAAUCCGCGCACACACAUCCUCAAGAUCAGGUAGAGUGUCUUCUCUAAGCAGGUGCUGGAUGAGACCGUUGUAAGCCGGGUUCAGCGUGAGGAGUAGCCCAAAGACCUUGUCUUGCUCUCUCCUCUUGUUAAGCUCAUCAGCAUCCGUUGUGCUUGGCCUAAGCAUCUCCAUCUCGGACCAGAGACUCCUGAAUCUCCCUAGAUGCUUGGUGAACUCCAUGUCUUCUUGUACAAGGUUGUUGAUGGCUUGCUUCACUUCAAACACUCGGCUUAGGUUUGAUGUGUUGCCAUACACCUUCUUCAAAGUAUCCCACAGCUCCUUGGCAGACUCACAGUAGCUGUAUGCAUCCAGAAUAGCCGGCUCAAGUGACGCAUGAAGUACAGACAUCACCAGCAUAUCCUCUUGAUGCCACUUCUCUUCUGCCUUGCUUGCAGCCUCACCAUCAUCCUCUCCUUGAGUGAUGAGUUUUGGAGCUUCUCCGGGGGUGAUGUGCUUCCACAACCCCUUGCUUCCCACCGUGGUUCUCACCAUCCGAGACCACACCAAGUAGUUGGUUCCCUUGAAGACCACAGCUACCUUCAUGUUCAUGUUCAUCCCACUCUCCAUGUUGAAUGAUGAACUCUCUAAGCUUCAGAAACUUUAUCUUGAGUUGAAUGACUUGUAGAACCCUUCACAGCCUCGAUCUUCAACCCACACAGCUUCAGAUGAUACACCACAACCAGUCUUGAACUUGAAAAGUACCCAGAAACUCUCAAACACACAAGAACACAAGAGUUUCUUCAAAGCUUCAACCUUGAGGCUUCAAAGAAUCUCACACGACCUCAGGCUCUCACUAACCUGGCUCUGAUACCAUAUCACUUUUAGUGAUGUUUAGAGUGAUCUGAGUAUUUAGGAAAGAUUAGAAGAGAUUUAGAGAAGAUUAAAGUAUGAAAUGAGAUUAAGAGUCUAAAGAACUAAAGAGAGGCUAAGAGAGACUCAUAACUUGCUUGAUCUUAUUAAUGAGAGAGUUUACACUUAUAUAGGAAGCUUAAGACACUAGGGUUUCGAUUACACAAAGUAGAAAGCAUGUGAGGUCAAUAACCAGCUAAGAGCUCAUUUGAAUCCUUCCAAUGAGAGUCUCCACAUGUGUAAAGCAUCUUUGAAUAUGCCUUUACCUUUCCAGCCUAUGACAGCCUGUCAGACGCGCCUCCCUUAUCCUUCUAAUGUUCAGCUCACGGUAAGAAAGGUAAAGUAACUCCAGCCUGUUUACAUUUCACCUUGGCCGAGUUACUUCUUGCGGAUGGUCGUUGGUACGGCCUACGUCCGUACUGCUCUCCCUAUCCGUACUGUCUGUCCGUACAUGCUCCUUCUCUUACUUGCUUAUUAACUCCUCAACACUUCUACACCCUCUUGGACUUCUUCUUCAUAUUAUAGUGCAUUCUUCUCAACAGUAAAGAGGCAAAGCGUGUGAGCCUUAUCAUCCAAUCAUCCGGAAAGCAACCUUGACUCUACAUGCUUCAAUAGUGCCCAUUUCGCCUCUUGUAAACCCUUAUGCUUUCCAUAUAAAUAUGUAACCUCACUCAUUAAUAAGAUUAUGCAGUUUGAGUCUCUCUAAUCUCUUAGACACUAUGGUUUUCUCUUAGACUCUAAACGGCUCUAUCUAGUCUCUUAAUCUUUUACAAACUUCUCUUAAUCACUUCUUAAACACUCUCUUUAUUCUGAUUACUCUAAGGAUCUCUUAAUCUCAUAUGGUAUCAGAGCCAGGUUCAUUUGAAUCUGGGGUUUGAUCUUUAGAGAGUUACAAGCUAACAUCUUUGAAGCUACACGCGAGUAGUCUUGAAGGUGUUGAAGCUGUGGUACGUUCUAGUUGAAGCUGUGCUACGUUCUGUGGGUUUGCGUGAUUCUAGACUCAAGAUUCAAGUUUUCAAGUCAAGCAAAGAUGGAACAUGGGAUGAACAUGAGGAUGAAGGUAGCGGUUAUUUUCAAAGGUAGCAACUACCUUGUGUGGUCUCGGAUGGUGAAGACUGCAGUGGGAAGUAAGGGCUUGUGGGGGCACAUCACAACAGGGGAGGCUCCGAAACUCAUUACUCAGGGAGGAGAUCAAGAAGAGGUCUCCAAUGAAGCGGCUGUGGAGAAAUGGCAACAAGAAGACAUGCUGGUGAUGACGGUUCUACACGCAUCCUUGGACCCAGCUAUCUUGGAUGCCUACAGCUACUGUGAAUCAGCCAAGGAGCUGUGGGACACGCUGAAGAAGGUGUAUGGGAACACUUCCAACCUCAGCCGUGUGUUUGAAGUGAAGCUAGCGAUCAACCGUCUUGCACAAGAGGACAUGGAGUUCACUAAGCACUUGGGGAGGUUCAGGUCCUUAUGGUCAGAGCUGGAGAUGCUGAGGCCGAGCACAACUGAUCCAGAUCAGUUGAAUGAGAGGCGCGAGCAAGACAAGGUCUUUGGGCUGCUUCUCACACUGAACCCGGCCUACACUCAACUCAUCCAGCACAUGCUAAGGUCAGACAAGCUUCCGGACCUUGAGGAGGUGUGUGCGCAAAUCCAAAGGGAGCAGGGAUCUAUGGGGCUGUUUGGAGGAAAGGGGGAGCUCUCUCUUGCCAAUCAAGCAGCUCAUGAGGACUCAACCGAGACUCCACAGGCAAACAAGGCAUCUCACGGGAAGUACGAGGACAGGAAGUUCAAUGGCAACUGUGAUCAUUGCAAGAAGCAUGGUCAUAAGAAGAGCCAAUGCUGGAUACUCCACCCACACCUCAAGCCGGCCAAGUUCAUGAAGGAGCGUGAGGGAAGGGCAAAUGUGACUGAAGGUUCAAGUGGAGCUGGCACCAGUAAGGCGAGUGAAGCGGAUGGGCUUGGAGGCAAUGAUGGGAAUGGGAAGUCUCUGGUGGCUUACACAGGCGCCUCAAGCUCACGCAGCAAUGAUGACUACAUCAAGAGAUCAGACCUUGAUGCUCUCUUCAAAAUGCUAAAGGAAAACGGUAAUUAUUCCUUUGGAGCUUCUAUGAUUGCAUAUAAGGAUGAUCACUUGAUUAGAGAACUAGUAGAACGGAUAGAAGCUAGGAAUGAAUAUAGAAAUGCUCACAUUGCUAGAUCAGAUAGGAUGCAUCCAUUGCUUAGUAAUCUAUGUCAUAAUGCUAAACGAGUAGAUAAACCAUUGAUUGUUGAUUCUGGUGCAUCACAUCAUAUGAUAAGUGAUGAGAACCUGAUUAAGGAUAUAGAACCUACGCAUGGGCAUGUGAUGAUAGAAAAUGGGGAUAAGAUACCUAUUAGAGGAAUAGGAAAGCUUAAGUUGUUUAACAAAGAAUCUAGAGCUUUUUACAUGCCUGAAUUCACAUCAAACCUAUUAUCUGUGAAGAAAUGUACUAAUGAUUUACAAUGCAAUGUUAUCUUUAGUCCUAAUGAUGUGAAGUUUCAGGAUAUUGAGAGCAGCAGAUUGAUUGGGAAAGGGGUGACUAAGGGAGAUCUCUAUAUGCUUGAAGAACUCACUUCUGUUCCUGAUUAUAGUUGCUCGUUUACUUCUGCUUCUUUGUUGAAUAAAAAUGCAUUGUGGCAUGCUAGAGUAGGACACCCUCAUGUUAAAGCUUUGAACUUAAUGGUACCAGGUGUUGUGUUUGAGAACAAAGAUUGUGAAGCUUGUAUUUUAGGCAAGCAUUGUAGAACUGUGUUUCAAAAGUCUACUACCGUUUAUGAUAAUUGCUUUGAUCUAAUUCAUUCGGAUGUGUGGACUGCUCCUUGCUUAUCUAGAGAUAGUUAUAAGUACUUUGUCACAUUCAUUGAUGAAAAAUCCAAAUACACCUGGUUAACCUUAAUUCAAACCAAAGAUAGGGUACUUGAUGCAUUUAGGAACUUUCAAACUUAUGUAACUAACCAUUAUCAUGCUAAGAUUAAAAUUUUGAGAUCAGAUAAUGGAGGAGAGUACACAAGUCAUGCGUUCAAGCAACACUUAUCACAGCAUGGGAUCCUACAUCAAACAAGCUGUCCGUAUACUCCACAGCAAAAUGGAGUGGCUGAGAGGAAGAAUAGGCACCUCAUGGAAGUGGCAAGGUCUCUUAUGUUUCAGAGUAAUGUUCCAAAGAGAUUUUGGAGUGAUGCGGUUGCCACUGCUUGUUACUUGAUCAACAGAACUCCAACCAAGGUUCUGAAUGAGAAGGCUCCAUUUGAAGUUCUGAACAGGUACAAACCAGCACUUGAUUACUUGCGAGUCUUUGGAUGCCUAUGCUUUGUGCUCAAACCAGGAGAAAUGAUCAACAAGCUAGAAGCAAGAAGUACUAAGGCUGUGUUCAUAGGAUACUCAGCUACACAGAAAGGAUACAAAUGCUAUGAUCCUAUAGCAAGGAGAGUACUUGUAUCUAGAGAUGUGAAGUUCUUGGAAGAUAGAGGAUACUAUGAAGAAAAGAACCAAGAAGACCUGAAGGACUUAACAUCAGACAAGGCCACCACCUUGCGGAUCAUCCUUGAAGGUCUUGGAAUCAGUACAUCCCAGGAUCCAAGGAAUCACGCAACUACACCUCCUGAAGAUAGUUCACCAUCCCACCUUGAUCAUGAGGGAGGAGAGGAGCAUGAGGAACCUAUGCAAGAGGCUAAUCAGGAUGAAGGAGGAGUAGAGAAUGAAGGAGAAGAGAGCAUAGGCUCUGAUGGUCAUGGUCAUGAUCAUGGUGUGAGGCAAACACCUUCUCAAGAUGAAGUGGUAGAAGAACAACAGGAAGAAGAACCGGUUGUGCAGCCACUAAGAAGGAGCACAAGGAUAAGGAAGGAUCCUUCUAGCUGGGUAAACACGAGAGUGUACUACAAUGCCCAAGCUGUGGAGCAUCCUUCUCAAGCCGUGUGCUCCUUUGCUCAAUAUCCAGAAGAGCAUUGUGCCUUCAUGGUUAACUUGGAUGAGAACUACAUCCCUAGAAGCUAUGAAGAAGCAAUCAUGGAUAAAGAAUGGAAGGAAUCAGUUGGAGCUGAGGCAGGAGCUAUGAUCAAGAAUGAUACAUGGUACGAGAGUGAGUUACCAAAAGGGAAGAAGGCUGUGACCAGUAGAUGGAUAUUCACAAUCAAGUACAAAGCGGAUGGAAAGAUUGAGAGGAAGAAGUCAAGGCUAGUUGCAAGAGGUUUCACUCAAACUUAUGGAGAAGAUUACAUAGAAACCUUUGCACCAGUAGCUAAACUACACACAAUCCGGAUUGUACUAAGCUUGGCUGUGAAUCUUGGAUGGGGGUUAUGGCAAAUGGAUGUGAAGAAUGCGUUUCUACAAGGUGAACUUGAGGAUGAAGUGUAUAUGCAUCCACCUCCAGGCCUUGAACACUUAGUGAAGAGAGGGAAUGUGUUGAGGCUGAAGAAAGCUAUCUAUGGGCUGAAGCAAUCACCAAGAGCUUGGUACAACAAGUUGAGCACUACUCUGAAUGGCCGAGGCUUCAAGAAGUCUGAACUAGAUCACACCCUCUUCACACUCACGACUCCCUCAGGUAUGAUUGCACUCCUUGUGUAUGUUGAUGAUAUCAUUAUCACAGGGAGUGAUAAGGAAGGUAUCAUAGCAACCAAGGAGUUUCUUAAAUCCAUGUUUGAGAUUAAAGACUUGGGAGAAAUGAAAUACUUUCUUGGAAUUGAGAUAUGUAGAUCCAAGGAAGGUUUGUUCAUGUCCCAAAGGAAGUAUACACUUGAUCUUUUGAAAGGUGCAGGUGCUUAUGGAGGCAAGACAGCAAGGAUGCCUAUGGAGGAUGGCUACAAAGUCCCACGAGAGGGGGAGAUUGAAGACAGCAAACCUUAUCAGGAUCCUAAACUCUAUAGAAAACUAGUUGGCAAAUUGAUUUAUCUUACCAUAACUAGACCUGACAUUUGCUUUGCUGUGAAUCAGGUGAGUCAACACAUGCAAGUACCUAAGGAGCAUCACUGGCGCAUGGUAGAGAGGAUCUUGAUGUAUCUCAACGGCUCACCUGAUCAAGGAGUAUGGAUGGGCUGCAAUGGAAGCACUGAAGUGGUGGGAUACUGUGAUGCGGAUUGGGCUGGUGAUAGAGCAGACAGGAGAUCAACCACAGGCUAUUGCACAUUCAUUGGAGGCAACUUGGUGACUUGGAAGAGUAAGAAGCAGAAGGUGGUGUCUUGCUCAAGUGCCGAAGCUGAGUAUAGAGCUAUGCUGAAGCUCACCAACGAGUUAGUAUGGAUCAAAGGCAUCUUGAAGCAUUUGGAGAUUGAUCAAGCCACGCCAAUGACCAUGCAUUGUGACAAUCAAGCAGCUAUCCACAUUGCAUCCAACUCGGUGUUUCAUGAGAGGACCAAGCACAUUGAAGUUGAUUGCCACAAGGUGAGACAGAUGAUUGUGCUAGGGGUGAUCUUGCCAUGCUAUACAAGGAGUGAAGAUCAGCUAGCGGAUGUGUUCACCAAGGCUGCAAGGCAAAAGACUAUGGAGUCCAUUCACAUCAGAUUGGGACUCAUAGAUCUUGGGAAGAGAAGGAGCUAAUCCCCUUAGCUGCAAGGUCUUUACUCUUUUUCCCUCAUCAAAGUUUUAUCCCAUUGGGUUUUCUUUGGUGAGGUUUUUAAUGAGGAAGAUCUUGUAGCUUUCCAAGCUUAGGCUUUCACAAAGCUAAGCUUGAGGGGGAGUGUUGAGUUGAGUUGAUUAUAUUGGUAUGGAGAGAAGAGGAGUUGAAGAGGAGAAGAGAUGGAGAAGCUUGGGGAGUUUUGGUGUGAAUGGUACGGACGGCCGUACAAGGCCGUACAUGGCCGUACCGUCCGUACCAAAGGUCUCGACCAAAAGUUACCCAACUCGACCAAGUGAAACGGUAACAAGGAAAUGUUACCUUGGGGGCUUAAGGAGAAGGGAUCAGACCGUUGAGUGGAUAAGGGAAGAGCGUGCCAGGCUGGAACAGGCUGUAAAGAGGCAAAGCGUGUGAGCCUUAUCAUCCAAUCAUCCGGAAAGCAACCUUGACUCUACAUGCUUCAAUAGUGCCCAUUUCGCCUCUUGUAAACCCUUAUGCUUUCCAUAUAAAUAUGUAACCUCACUCAUUAAUAAGAUUUUGCAGUUUGAGUCUCUCUAAUCUCUUAGACACUAUGGUUUUCUCUUAGACUCUAAACGACUCUAUCUAGUCUCUUAAUCUUUCACAAACUUCUCUUAAUCACUUCUUAAACACUCUCUUUAUUCUGAUUACUCUAAGGAUCUCUUAAUCUCAUAUUAUGUAUCCAAAUCAAGCUUCUUACAGAGUGAUUCAUCCUGGUUUGAUUGGAACGACGAAGAAGCUGUCCUAUUCCCAAACUGGGAAACUGGAAUCACCUGAUUAGAAAGUGAGAUAACUUCUUCAUCCAACUCCAAUGAGAUUUAUUCAACUUCCUGGUGAUUCUCCAACACUUUAUGUAUCCAAAUCAAGCUUCUUACAGAGUGAUUCAUCCUGGUUUGAUUGGAACGACGAAGAAGCUGUCCUAUUCCCAAACUGGGAAACUGGAAUCACCUGAUUAGAAAGUGGGAUAACUUCUUCAUCCCAACUCCUAUGAGAUUUAUUCAACUUCAUGGUGAUUCUCCAACACUUUAUGUAUCCAAAUCAAGCUUCUUACAGAGUGAUUCAUCCUGGUUUAAUUGGAACGAUGAAGAAGCUGUCAUAUUCCCAAACUAGGAAACUUGAAUCACCUGAUUAGAAAGUGGGAUAACUUCUUCAUCCCAACUCCUAUGAGAUUAGUUCAACUUCCUGGUGAUUCUCCACCACUUUAUGUAUCCAAAUCAAGCUUCUUACAAAGUGAUUCAUCCUGGUGUUAUUGAAACGACGAAGAAGCUGUCCUAUUCCCAAACUGGGAAACUGGAAUCACCUGAUUAGAAAGUGGGAUAACUUCUUCAUCCUAACUCCUAUGAGAUUUAUUCAACUUCCUGGUGUUUCUCCACCAUUUUAUGUAUCCAAAUCAAGCUUCUUACAAAGUGAUUCAUCCUGGUGUUAUUGGAACGACGAAGAAGCUGUCCUAUUCCCAAACUGGGAAACUGGAAUCACCUGAUUAGAAAGUGGGAUAACUUCUUCAUCCCAACUCCUAUGAGAUUUAUUCAACUUCCUGGUGUUUCUCCACCAUUUUAUGUAUCCAAAUCAAGCUUCUUACAAAGUGAUUCAUCCUGGUGUUAUUGGAACGACGAAGAAGCUGUCCUAUUCCCAAACUGGGAAACUGGAAUCACCUGAUUAGAAAGUGGGAUAACUUCUUCAUCCCAACUCCUAUGAGAUUUAUUCAACUUCCUGGUGUUUCUCCACCAUUUUAUGUAUCCAAAUCAAGCUUCUUACAAAGUGAUUCAUCCUGGUUUGAUUGGAACGACGAAGAAGAUGUCCUAUUCCCAAACUGGGAAAAUGGAAUCACCUGAUUUGAAAGUGGGAUAACUCAUUCAUCCCAACUCCUAUGAUAUUAAUUCAACUUCCUGGUGAUUCUCCAACACUUUAUGUAUCCAAAUCAAGCUUCUUACAAAGUGAUUCAUCCUGGUUUGAUUGGAACGACGAAGAAGCUGUCCUAUUCCCAAACUGGGAAACUGGAAUCACCUGAUUAGAAAGUGGGAUAACUUCUUCAUCCCAACUCCUAUGAGAUUAAUUCAACUUCCUGGUGAUUCUCCAACACUUUAUGUAUCCAAAUCAAGCUUCUUACAAAGUGAUUCAUCCUGGUUUGAUUGGAACGACGAAGAAGCUGUCCUAUUCCCAAACUGGGAAACUGGAAUCACCUGAUUAGAAAGUGGGAUAACUUCUUCAUCCCAACUCCUAUGAGAUUAAUUCAACUUCCUGGUGAUUCUCCACCACUUUAUGUAUCCAAAUCAAGCUUCUUACAAGGUGAUUCAUCCUGGUGUUAUUGGAACGACGAAGAAGCUGUCCUAUUCCCAAACUUGGAAACUGGAAUCACCUGAUUAGAAAGUGGGAUAACUUCUUCAUCCCAACUCCUAUGAGAUUAUUCAACUUCCUGGUGAUUCUCCACCACUUUAUGUAUCCAAAUCAAGCUUCUUACAAAGUGAUUCAUCCUGGUUUGAUUGGAACGACGAAGAAGCUGUCCUAUUCCCAAACUGGGAAACUGGAAUCACCUGAUUAGAAAGUGGGAUAACUUCUUCAUCCCAACUCCUAUGAGAUUUAUUCAACUUCCUGGUGAUUCUCCAACACUUUAUGUAUCCAAAUCAAGCUUCUUACAAAGUGAUUCAUCCUGGUUUGAUUGGAACGACGAAGAAGCUGUCCUAUUCCCAAACUGGGAAACUGGAAUCACCUGAUUAGAAAGUGGGAUAACUUCUUCAUCCCAACUCCUAUGAGAUUUAUUCAACUUCCUGGUGAUUCUCCAACACUUUAUGUAUCCAAAUCAAGCUUCUUACAGAGUGAUUCAUCCUGGUUUGAUUGGAACGACGAAGAAGCUGUCCUAUUCCCAAACUGGGAAACUGGAAUCACCUGAUUUGAAAGUGGGAUAACUUCUUCAUCCCAACUCCUAUGAGAUUAAUUCAACUUCCUGGUGAUUCUCCAACACUUUAUGUAUCCAAGUCAAGCUUCUUACAAAGUGAUUCAUCCUGGUUUGAUUGGAACGCCGAAGAAGCUGUGUCAUAUUCCCAAACUGGGAAACUGGAAUCACCUGAUUAGAAAGUGGGAUAACUUCUUCAUCCCAACUCCUAUGAGAUUUAUUCAACUUCCUGGUGUUUCUCCACCAUUUUAUGUAUCCAAAUCAAGCUUCUUACAAAGUGAUUCAUCCUGGUUUGAUUGGAACGACGAAGAAGCUGUCCUAUUCCCAAACUGGGAAACUGGAAUCACCUGAUUAGAAAGUGGGAUAACUUCUUCAUCCCAACUCCUAUGAGAUUUAUUCAACUUCCUGGUGGUUCUCCAAAACUUUAUGUAUCCAAAUCAAGGUUCUUACAAAGUGAUUCAUCUUGGUUUGAUUGGAACGACGAAGAAGCUGUCGUAUUCCCAAACUGGGAAACUGGAAUCCCCUGAUUAGAAAGUGGGAUAACUUCUUCAUCCCUACUCCUAUGAGAUUUAUUCAACUCCCUGGUGUUUAUCCACCAUUUUAAGUAUCCAAAUCAAGCUUCUUACAAAGUGAUUCACCCUGGUUUGAUUGAAACGAUGAAGAAGCUGUCCUAUUCCCAAACUGGGAAACUGGAAUCACCUGAUUAGAAAGUGGGAUAACUUCUUCAUCCCAACUCCUAUGAGAUUUAUUAAACUUACUGAUGUUUCUCCACCAUUUUAUGUAUCCAAAUCAAGCUUCUUACAAAGUGAUUCAUCCUGGUUUGAUUGGAACGACGAAGAAGCUGUCAUAUUCCCAAACUGGGAAACUGGAAUCACCUGAUUAGAAAGUGGGAUAACUUCUUCAUCCCAACUCCUAUGAGAUUUAUUCAACUUCCUGGUGAUUUCUCCAACACUUUAUGUAUCCAAAUCAAGCUUCUUACAAAGUGAUUCAUCCUGGUUUGAUUGGAACGACGAAGAAGCUGUCCUAUUCCCAAACUGGGAAACUGGAAUCACCUGAUUAGAAAGUGGGAUAACUUCUUCAUCCCAACUCCUAUGAGAUUUAUUCAACUUCCUGGUGAUUCUCCAACACUUUAUGUAUCCAAAUCAAGCUUCUUACAAGUGAUUCAUCCUGGUUUAAUGGAACGAUGAAGAAGCUGUCCAUAUUCCCAAACUGGGAAACUUGAAUCACCUGAUUAGAAAGUGGGAUAACUUCUUCAUUCCCAACUCCUAUGAGAUUAAUUCAACUUCCUGGUGAUUCUCCACCACUUUAUGUAUCACAAAUCAAGCUUCUUACAAAGUGAUUCAUCCUGGUUUAUUGAACGACGAAGAAGCUGUCCUAUUCCCAAACUGGGAAACUGGAAUCACCUGAUUAGAAAGUGGGAUAACUUCUUCAUUCCACCUAAUCCUAUGAGAUUUAUUCAACUUCCUGGUGUUUCUCCACCAUUUUAUGUAUCCAAAUCAAGCUUCUUACAAAGUGAUUCAUCCUGGUUUGAUUGGAACGACGAAGAAGCUGUCCUAUUCCCCCCAACUGGGAAACUGGAAUCACCUGAUUAGAAAGUGGGAUAACUUCUUCAUCCCAACUCCUAUGAGAUUUAUUCAACUUCCUGGUGUUUCUCCACCAUUUUAUGUAUCCAAAUCAAGCUUCUUACAAAGUGAUUCAUCCUGGUGUAUUGGAACGACGAAGAAGCUGUCCUAUUCCCAAACUGGGAAACUGGAAUCACCUGAUUAGAAAGUGGGAUAACUUCUUCAUCCCAACUCCUAUGAGAUUUAUUCAACUUCCUGGUGUUUCUCCACCAUUUAUGUAUCCAAAUCAAGCUUCUUACAAAGUGAUUCAUCCUGGUUUGAUUGGAACGACGAAGAAGCUGUCCUAUUCCCAAACUGGGAAACUGGAAUCACCUGAUUUGAAAGUGGGAUAACUUCUUCAUCCCAACUCCUAUGAAUUUAAUUCAACUUCCUGGUGAUUCUCCAACACUUUAUCUAUCCAAAUCAAGCUUCUUACAAAGUGAUUCAUCCUGGUUUGAUUGGAACGACGAAGAAGCUGUCCUAUUCCCAAACGGGAAACUGGAAUCACCUGAUUAGAAAGUGGGAUAACUUCUUCAUCCCAACUCCUAUGAGAUUUAUUCAACUUCCUGGUGAUUCUCCAACACUUUAUGUAUCCAAAUCAAGCUUCUUACAAGUGAUUCAUCCUGGUUUGAUUGGAACGACGAAGAAGCUGUCCUAUUCCCAAACUGGGAAACUGGAAUCACCUGAUUAGAAAGUGGGAUAACUUCUUCAUCCCAACUCCUAUGAGAUUUAUUCAACUUCCUGGUGAUUCUCCACCACUUUAUGUAUCCAAAUCAAGCUUCUUACAAAGUGAUUCAUCCUGGUUUGAUUGGAACGACGAAGAAGCUGUCCUAUUCCCAAACUGGGAAACUGGAAUCACCUGAUUAGAAAGUGGAUAACUUCUUCAUCCCAACUCCUAUGAGAUUAUUCAACUUCCUGGUGAUUCUCCACCACUUUAUGUAUCCAAAUCAAGCUUCUUACAAAGUGAUUCAUCCUGGUGUUGAUUGGAACGACGAAGAAGCUGUCCUAUUCCCAAACUGGGAAACUGGAAUCACCUGAUUAGAAAGUGGGAUAACUUCUUCAUCCCAACUCCUAUGAGAUUUAUUCAACUUCCUGGUGAUUCUCCACACUUUAUGUAUCCAAAUCAAGCUUCUUACAGAGUGAUUCAUCCUGGUUUGAUUGGAACGACGAAGAAGCUGUCCUAUUCCCAAACUGGGAAACUGGAAUCACCUGAUUAGAAAGUGGGAUAACUCUUCAUCCCAACUCCUAUGAGAUUUAUUCAACUUCCUGGUGAUUCUCCAACACUUUAUAUAUCCAAAUCAAGCUUCUUACAAAGUGAUUCAUCCUGGUUUGAUUGGAACGACGAAGAAGCUGUGCAUAUUCCCAAACUGGGAAACUGGAAUCACCUGAUUAGAAAGUGGAUAACUUCUUCAUCCCAACUCCUAUGAGAUUUAUUCAAUUUCCUGGUGUUUCUCUCCACCAUUUUAUGUAUCCAAAUCAAGCUUCUUACAAAGUGAUUCAUCCUGGUGUUGAUUGGAACGACGAAGAAGCUGUCCUAUUCCCAAACUGGGAAACUGGAAUCACCUGAUUAGAAAGUGGGAUAACUUCUUCAUCCCAACCUCCUUAUUUUAUGUAUCCAAAUCAAGCUUCUUCCCCAAACUGGGAAACUGGAAUCACCUGAUUAGAAAGUUGGAUAACUUCUUCAUCCCAACUCCUAUGAGAUUUAUUAACUUCCUUGGUUUUCUCCCACCAUUUUAUGUAUCCAAAUCAGCUUCUUACAAAGUGAUUCAUCCUGGUUUUAUUGGAACGACGAAGAAGCUGUCCUAUUCCCAAACUGGGAAACUGGAAUCACUGAUUAGAAAGUGGGAUAACUUCUUCAUCCCAACUCCUAUGAGAUUUAUUCAACUUCCUGGUGAUUCUCUCCACACUUUAUGUAUCCAAAUCAAGCUUCUUACAAAGUGAUUCAUCCUGGUGUUAUUGGAACGACGAAGAAGCUGUCCAUUCCCAAACUGGGAAACUGGAAUCACCUGAUUAGAAAGUGGGAUAACUUCUCAUCCCAACUCCUAUGAGAUUUAUUCAACUUCCUGGUGUUCUCCACCAUUUUAUGUAUCCAAAAUCAAGCUUCUUACAAAGUGAUUCAUCCUGGUGUUAUUGGAACGACGAAGAAGCUGUCCUAUUCCCAAACUGGGAACUGGAAUCACCUGAUUAGAAAUGGGAUAACUCUUCAUCCCAACUCCUAUGAGAUUUCAUCCCAACUCCUAUGAGAUUUAUUCAACUUCCUGGUGAUUCUCCACCACUUUAUGUAUCCAAAUCAAGCUUCUCACAAAGUGAUUCAUCCUGGUUUGAUUGGAACGACGAAGAAGCUGUGCUAUUCCCAAACUGGGAAACUGGAAUCACCUGAUUUGAAAGUGGGAUAACUUCUUCUUGCCAACUCCUAUGAGAUUUAUUCAACUUCCUGGUGAUUCUCCACCACUUUAUGUAUCCAAAUCAAGCUUCUCACAAAGUGAUUCAUCCUGGUUUGAUUGGAACGACGAAGAAGCUGUGCUAUUCCCAAACUGGGAAACUGGAAUCACCUGAUUUGAAAGUGGGAUAACUUCUUCAUCCAACUCCUAUGAGAUUUAUUCAACUUCUGGUGAUUCUCCACCACUUUAUGUAUCCAAAUCAAGCUUCUCACAAAGUGAUUCUUUUUGAUUGUGAUCAUGGACCAACUAGCUAAUGGAGAUGAUGAGGAUUAGAUAAGCCAACUGAUGAAGAUGUCCUAGCCUUGCCUAAAGGACCUAUGACUCGAUCAAGAUCAAGGAAGCUCCGCAAGUUUUGGAGGAUUGGUUAAGAUUUCAUGGAAGCAAGAGGAAGUCUUGGUAGAAGCUUGAUCAAACCAAGACACACUUAUCACCAUUCAAGCUACUUCAUCCUCAAGCUGAUCAUCAACUAAGCAAGCAUUCUAUGCGUGCUCUUUUUCCCUACUUUGGUUUUUUAUCCAAUGGGUUUUCCAAAAGAUAGGUUUUUAACGAGGCCAUAGAUUUGCUUCUCAAAAUCUCUUAGUUGUUGAUCUCGAUCCAACCUUAUCCCGGAUCAACCUUAUGUUAUAUUAUGUCUUUCAUGCUUUUGUUUUCAAACUUGUAUUAGUAUCUAUUUUCAAGAGAACCGUGUGCCUUACUCUCUGAUAGUUUUCGAGAGCUUGGAGUCUGUUCCAACUUUUCUUAUAUAAGUGUACUUUGAAACCCUUAUCAAUAACAAUUAUCUUUUAUCAAAACCCCUUUUCUUUGUUCUCUCUAUUGUUGUCCGCGAGUUAUGAGUGUUCUGUUGGUGUGUAUAUCCAACAGCCAAGAGUGUCUAUCUCGGUGUGUCAUAUCCGAUCUAGUCACUUAGGAGUAUCAGGAGCCUUUCCGCAGCCUCCUUGUAGAGCUUGAGUCUUUGAUUCGUUCUAGCAAGGAUCUAUCCCAUACUAUCCAGAGAAAGCAAUCUAAGGACGUAUUAUGUGGUAUCAGAGCAUCUCUGGUUAGGGAGUUACUCGUUUCUUCCAUUGGUUUUCGAUUUAACCUGUUCAGCUUCUUGAUCAGUUUUAGAUCGAUCGUUUUGUUUCAAUGAUCUGUUCUUUGAUUUCGCAAUAUCCAUUGAUUGAUCUGUAAACCAGGGUUGUUUGAUUGUGUGAUCUGAUCGUUUUGUGUCGAUCAAAUUGUUAAAGUUUGAAUUGAUAGAUCUAGGUUCGCGCUUUUAGAUCCGAUCAUUAUCGAUUCAUAUUCUCGUUGUGAUUUCUUGUUUAAAUCUGAAAUUGAUCGUGUGAUCUGUUUUAAAUCACCUAUAACAACUAGAUCUACUUGUGUGUCGUCGAAAUCUGAUCACGAACCUACCCUGAUCCUUGUUUCUAUUGUGAUUUACUGUUGUCGAUUUGAAUCUUGUUUCUUGUUAAUCAAGUUUUCUUUCCGCCAGUUUAUUUCAGUUUAAAAUCUCUUGAUCAUCUACUGUUUACGAUCAGUUUAUUGGAAUUAUUUACUGGUUGAGUGUGUUGUGUUUGAUUUAAGGUACCAAUGGGGAGAAGAAUCAGAAGAAGAAGCCGAGCUAGUAAGGAAAGAAACAUGCUGAGGGAGCAAAUGACCGAGCAAAAUGAAUCAGACUAUGAUCUCUACAAUGGCUGAUAUGCUCAAGGCUAGCAUGAGGAAUUACGUGAGGAGAUGAGACAAGAGUUGAGGCAAGCUACUGGCCAGGGACAUAGCAAUGAGUCUAGAAGAAACCAGCCUACUCCAGUACGGCAAGAGCAUGAGGGUUCACAGAGAACCGACAACUACUACUUACUCCGCGCCAUAGACUGAGCGUAGUAGUUCUUUGUUCUCUUCUGAACUGAGCAGAGGAAGAUCGAGGCGUGAACAUGAUGGAGGGGAUCACGCAAAGACAAGCUUUCUGGACUUAAGCUUAAGAUUCCAUCCUUCCAUGCAGGUUGAUCCAGAUGCCUAUUUGGAAUGGGAAAAGAAGAUCGAGCUUGUCUUCAAUUGCCACACUACUCCAAUGCCCAAAGGAUCAAGAUCGCAGCAACUGAAUUUUAUGAUUAUGCAUUGAGUUGGGUGGAUCAGCUUGUAACUACUAGACGGCUUACCAAGAGAAUCCGGUUGAUUCAUGGCACGAGAUGAAGUCACUCAUGCGCAAACGGUUUGUUCCAAGUCAUUUAUCACCGCGAUCUACAUCAAAAGCUGCGCAGACUUACCCAAGGAACACGAACUGGAAGAAUACUAUCAAGACAUGGAGUUGCUGAUGUUAGAGCUAGUAUCUUGGAGGAUAGAGAAGCUACUAUGGCAAGGUUUUCUGGAGGACUUAACCGUGAGAUAACAAGACAAUGUGGAGAUGCAACACUAUGUGGAGAUAGAAGAAAUGUUGCACAAAGCUAUCUAGUGGAGCAGCAGCUCAAGAGGAAGGGUAACUCACGCAGCUAUGGAUCUUCUAAGUUCCACCACUCUAAGGAGGAGAAAACAUCCUAUCUGAAGGAUAGCAAGCCUCAGCAGAAAGAAGAGACUAAGCCGAGCAGCACAUACAGCAAAGACAAAGGCAAAGCUGAAAUUACUAGUUCAAGAACUAGAGAUGUUAAGUGUUUCAAUGUCAAGGGCGUGGGCAUUAUGCUAAUGAUGCACCAACAAAAAGGUUAUGAUUCUUCUUGAGAAUGGAGGUAUGAAUCAGAGGAAGAGAAGUUUGGGUCUGAUCAUGAGGAGUCUGAAGAAGAAAGUGAAGUAGAACCCGUGAAAGGAAGAUUGUUGGUGACAAGAAGACUCUUGAACGUACAAGCUAAAAUGGAGAGCUUGAGCAGCGAGAGAAUCUAUUCUACACAGGUGUAUGGUUCAGGGAAAGGUGUGCAGCCUCAUUAUUGAUGGAGGAAGUUGUGUCAAUGUAGCUAGUGAGACAAUGGUGAAGAAAUUGGGUUUGAAAAUCAGAAACACCCAAGACCCUACAGAUUGCAGUGGCUCAAUGAGGAGGGCGAGAUGAGAGUUUCUACUCAAGUACUGGUUCCUAUAGCCAUUGGUAGAUAUGAAGAUGAAGUCUUGUGUGAUGUGUUGCCAAUGGAAGCCAGUCAUAUACUUCUUGGAAGACCCUGGCAGUAUGAUAGACGUGUGAAUCAUGAUGGCUUCACAACAAGCACUCAUUUGAAUUCAAUGGAAAGAAGACUGUGCUGGUGCCUUUGUCUCCUAAAGAGUUCAUGAAGAUCAACUCCAGCUUCAGAAAAAGAAAGAAAAAAGAUUGAUCUCAAACCUGAUCAUAACAAGCAUCACAUCACAGCCUCUAUGCCAAACAGGGAGAUAUCAAAAGAAUUCUCUACUCUCAAAAUUCUAUUAUCUUGCUUAUGUUUAAAGAGACUCUUCUAACAGUUACUGAUCACACACCGGAUCAUCCGAGUGAACUAGUCUCUCUUUUACAGGAAUAUGCAGAUGUGUUUCCAGAAGAUAGCCCCAUUGGAUUGCCUCCAGUGCGUGGGAUUGAGCACCAAAUAGACUUUGUACCUGGUUCUACACUGCCCAACCGUCCAGCAUACAGGACCAAUCCAGUUGAAACUAAAGAACUGCAAAAACAAGUAGAGGAGCUGAUGGAGAAGGGUCAUAUCCGAGAGAGUUUGAGUCCUUGUGCAGUUCCAGUGCUCCUUGUGCCUAAGAAAGAUGGGAGCUGGCGCAUGUGUGUUGAUUGUAGAGCAAUCAACAACAUAACAGUGAAGUAUCGCCACCCUAUUCCUAGAUUAGAUGAUAUGCUUGAUGAGUUGCAUGGUUCUUGCAUAUUUUCUAAGAUAGAUUUGAAAAGUGGAUAUCAUCAGAUUAGGAUGAAAGAAGGAGAUGAGUGGAAAACUGCUUUUAAACUAAACAUGGCUUGUAUGAAUGGUUAGUUAUGCCAUUUGGAUUAACCAAUGCGCCUAGUACAUUCAUGAGACUGAUGAAUCAUAUUCUUAGGUCUUUCAUAGGCAUCUUUGUUGUUGUGUACUUUGAUGAUAUAUUAGUUAUACAGCAAUGCUUAGAAGAUCAUAUAGAACAUCUUAGGGCUGUUUUGGAUGUUUGAGAAAAGAAAAGCUUUAUGCCAAUCUAAAGAAGUGCACUUUUUGCACAGAUAACUUGGUCUUUCUAGGUUUUGUUGUAAGUGCAGAUGGUGUAAAGGUGGAUCAGGAAAAGAUCAAAGCAAUACAAGAAUGGCCGAGUCCAACUACAGUGGGAGAAGUAAGGAGUUUUCAUGGACUGGCAGGUUUCUAUAGGCGUUUUGUGAAGGAUUUCAGCACUCUAGCAGCUCCCCUACUGAGAUAAUCAAGAAGGAUGUAGGAUUCAAGUGGGGAGAAGUUCAAGAAGCCGCAUUCCAACUCCUUAAAGAGAAGCUUACUCAAUCUCCUCUUCUCAUACUUCCUGAUUUUCUAAAAUUUGAAAUAGAAUGUGAUGCCUCAGGAAUUGGAAUUGGUGCUGUUUUGAUGCAGGAUAAGACCUAUUGCUUACUUCAGUGAGAAACUCAGUGGAGCUACUCUCAAUAUGCCACUUAUGACAAAGAACUCUACGCUUUGGUGAGAGCUCUACAGACUUGGCAGCAUUAUCUCUGGCCAAAGGAGUUUGUCAUUCACACCGACCAUGAAUCUCUCAAGUAUCUCAAAGGACAAAGUAAGCUCAGCAAGAGACAUGCUAGAUGGGUAGAAGUUCAUUGAAACCUUUCCUUAUGUGAUCAAAUACAAACAAGGUUUUGAGCGAGAUGGAAGAAAUGGAUGAAUAUGAUCCUGACGGCUUUCAAGAAGCUUAUAAAUCAUUGUGCUAAGGAUCCCAUGGAGGAAGCUUGAUGGGUCAUUUUGGUAUAGCAAAAAACCCUUAAAGUUCUGCAGGAUCACUUCUAUUGGCCGCAUAUGAAAAGAGAUGUGGAGAGAAUCUGUGGAAGGUGCACAACUUGCAAGCUUGCAAAGUCUAAGUUCAACCUCACGGUUUGUAUACUCCUUUGCCUAUUCCUACUCAUCCUUGGAAUGAUAUAUCUAUGGAUUUUUUUAUGGGUUUGCCUAGAACUAGGACUGGCAAGGAUUCUAUCUUUGUGGUUGUUGAUAGAUUCUCUAAAAUGGCACAUUUCAUAGCUUGCAAUAAGACUGAUGAUGCAUUACAUGUAGCUAAUUUGUUCUUUAAAGAAGUGGUACGUUUGCAUGGAAUGCCUAGGACUAUAGUUUCAGAUAGAGAUACUAAAUUCCUUAGCUACUUUUGGAAAACAUUGUGGUCUAAACUAGGAACUAAGCUAUUGUUUUCUACUACUUGUCAUCCACAAACUGAUGGACAGACUGAAGUAGUUAAUAGAACUUAGGUACUCUCCUGCGUGCAUUCAUCAAAAAGAAUUGAAAUCAUGGGAAGAUUACUUGCCUCAUUGUGAAUUUGCAUACAAUCAUGCUAUGCAUUCUGCUUCUAAGUUUUCUCCUUUUGAAAUUGUUUAUGGGUUCAAUCCCAUCUCACCUUUGGAUCUAAUACCUUUACCUGAGUGUGAAAGGGUUAGUAUGGAUGGGAAAAGAAAGCUGAGAUGGUUCAGCAGAUUCAUGAGCAAGCUAAGCGCAAUCUAGAAGAAAAACUAAGCAAUACGCCAAACAAGCUAACAAGGGAAGGCGUGAAUGAUCUUUGAAGUUGGAGAUCAAGUAUGGGUUCACUUGAGGAAAGAGAGGUUUCCAAAAGAGAGGAAGUCUAAGCUAAUGCCGAGGAUUGAUGGCCCUUUUGAAGUCACAAGAGGAUCAAUGACAAUGCCUACAAACUUGAUCUGCAAGGUAAGUACGACAUAAGUGAUAGCUUCAAUGUUACUGACUUGAUCCCUUUUGUUGCAGAUGAGCCAGAUUUGAGGACAAAUCCUUUUCAAGAGGGAGGGAUGAUGUGAUCAUGGACCAACUAGCUAAUGGAGAUGAUGAGGAUCUAGACAAGCCAACUGAUGAAGAUGUCCUAGCCUUGCCUAAAGGACCUAUGACUCGAUCAAGAUCAAGGAAGCUCACGCAAGUUAUUGGAGGAUUGGUUAAGAUGUCAUGGAAGCAAGAGGAAUGUCUUGGUAGAAGCUUGAUCAACCAAGACACACUUAUCACCAUUCAAGCUACUUCACCAUCAAGCUGAUCAUCAACUAAGCAAGCAAUCUAUGGUGCUCUUUUUCCCUAUCUUUGGUUUUGUCCCAAUGGGUUUUCCAAAGAUAGGUUUUUAACGAGGCCAUAGAUUUGCUUCUCAAAUCUCUUAGUUGAUGAUCUCGAUCCAACCUUAUCCCGGAUCAACCUUAUGUUUAUAUUAUGUCUUUCAUGCUUUUGUUUUCAAACUUGUCAUUUGUAUCUAUUUUCAAGAGAACCGUGUGCCUUUACUCUCUUGAUAGUUUUCGAGAAGCUUGGAGUCUGUUCCAACUUCUCUUAUAUAAGUGUACUUUGAAACCCUUAUCAAUAACAAUUAUCUUUUAUCAAAAACCCCUUUUCUUUGUUCUCUCUAUUGCUUGUCCGCGAGUUAUUGAGUGUUCUUGUUGGUGUGUAAUAUCCAACAGCCCAAGAGUGUCUAUCUCGGUGUGUCAUAUCCGAUCUAGUCACUUAGGAGUAUCAAGAAGCCUUUCUGCAGCCUCUUGUGUCACCAAUCGACCCACAACCUUGUAGAGCUUGAGUCUUUGAUUCGUUCUAGCAAGGAUCUAUCCCAUACUAUCCAGAGAAGCAAUCUAGGGACGUAUUAGAUUCAUCCAGGUUUGAUUGGAACGACGAAAAGCUGUGCUAUUCCCAAACUGGGAAACUGGAAUCACCUGAUUUGAAAGUGGGAUAACUUCUUCUGCCAACUCCUAUGAGAUUUAUUCAACUUCCUGGUGAUUCUCCACCACUUUAUGUAUCCAAAUCAAGCUUCUCACAAAGUGAUUCAUCCUGGUUUGAUUGGAACGACGAGAAGCUGUGCUAUUCCCAAACUGGGAAACUGGAAUCACCUGAUUUGAAAGUGGGAUAACUUCUUCUUCCCAACUCCUAUGAGAUUUAUUCAACUUCCUGGUGAUUCUCCACCACUUUAUGUAUCCAAAUCAAGCUUCUCACAAAGUGAUUCAUCCUGGUUUGAUUGGAACGACGAGAAGCUGUCCUAUUCCCAAACUGGGAAACUGGAAUCACCUGAUUUGAAAGUGGGAUAACUUCUUCAUCCCAACUCCUAUGAGAUUUAUUCAACUUCCUGGUGAUUCUCCACCACUUUAUGUAUCCAAAUCAAGCUUCUCACAAAGUGAUUCAUCCUGGUUUGAUUGGAACGACGAAGAAGCUGUGCUAUUCCCAAACUGGGAAACUGGAAUCACCUGAUUUGAAAGUGGGAUAACUUCUUCAUCCCAACUCCUAUGAGAUUUAUUCAACUUCCUGGUGAUUCUCCACCACUUUAUGUAUCCAAAUCAAGCUUCUCACAAAGUGAUUCAUCCUGGUUUGAUUGGAACGACGAAGAAGCUGUGCUAUUCCCAAACUGGGAAACUGGAAUCACCUGAUUUGAAAGUGGGAUAACUUCUUCUUGCCAACUCCUAUGAGAUUUAUUCAACUUCCUGGUGAUUCUCCACCACUUUAUGUAUCCAAAUCAAGCUUCUCACAAAGUGAUUCAUCCUGGUUUGAUUGGAACGACGAAGAAGCUGUGCUAUUCCCAAACUGGGAAACUGGAAUCACCUGAUUUGAAAGUGGGAUAACUUCUUCAUCCCAACUCCUAUGAGAUUUAUUCAACUUCCUGGUGAUUCUCCACCACUUUAUGUAUCCAAAUCAAGCUUCUUACAAAGUGAUUCAUCCUGGUUUGAUUGGAACGACGAAGAAGCUGUGCUAUUCCCAAACUGGGAAACUGGAAUCACCUGAUUUGAAAGUGGAGUAACUUCUUCAUCCCAACUCCUAUGAGAUUUAUUCAACUUCCUGGUGAUUCUCCACCACUUUAUGUAUCCAAAUCAAGCUUCUCACAAAGUGAUUCAUCCUGGUUUGAUUGGAACGACGAAGAAGCUGUGCUAUUCCCAAACUGGGAAACUGGAAUCACCUGAUUUGAAAGUGGGAUAACUUCUUCAUCCCAACUCCUAUGAGAUUUUUUCAACUUCCUGGUGAUUCUCCACCACUUUAUGUAUCCAAAUCAAGCUUCUCACAAAGUGAUUCAUCCUGGUUUGAUUGGAACGACGAAGAAGCUGUGCUAUUCCCAAACUGGGAAACUGGAAUCACCUGAUUUGAAAGUGGGAUAACUUCUUCUUGCCAACUCCUAUGAGAUUUAUUCAACUUCCUGGUGAUUCUCCACCACUUUAUGUAUCCAAAUCAAGCUUCUCACAAAGUGAUUCAUCCUGGUUUGAUUGGAACGACGAAGAAGCUGUGCUAUUCCCAAACUGGGAAACUGGAAUCACCUGAUUUGAAAGUGGGAUAACUUCUUCAUCCCAACUCCUAUGAGAUUUAUUCAACUUCCUGGUGAUUCUCCACCACUUUAUGUAUCCAAAUCAAGCUUCUCACAAAGUGAUUCAUCCUGGUUUGAUUGGAACGACGAAGAAGCUGUGCUAUUCCCAAACUGGGAAACUGGAAUCACCUGAUUUGAAAGUGGGAUAACUUCUUCUUGCCAACUCCUAUGAGAUUUAUUCAACUUCCUGGUGAUUCUCCACCACUUUAUGUAUCCAAAUCAAGCUUCUCACAAAGUGAUUCAUCCUGGUUUGAUUGGAACGACGAAGAAGCUGUGCUAUUCCCAAACUGGGAAACUGGAAUCACCUGAUUUGAAAGUGGGAUAACUUCUUCAUUGCCAACUCCUAUGAGAUUUAUUCAACUUCCUGGUGAUUCUCCACCACUUUAUGUAUCCAAAUCAAGCUUCUCACAAAGUGAUUCAUCCUGGUUUGAUUGGAACGACGAAGAAGCUGUCUAUUCCCAAACUGGGAAACUGGAAUCACCUGAUUUGAAAGUGGGAUAACUUCUUCAUCCCAACUCCUAUGAGAUUUAUUCAACUUCCUGGUGAUUCUCCACCACUUUAUGUAUCCAAAUCAAGCUUCUCACAAAGUGAUUCAUCCUGGUUUGAUUGGAACGACGAAGAAGCUGUGCUAUUCCCAAACUGGGAAACUGGAAUCACCUGAUUUGAAAGUGGGAUAACUUCUUCAUCCCAACUCCUAUGAGAUUUAUUCAACUUCCUGGUGAUUCUCCACCACUUUAUGUAUCCAAAUCAAGCUUCUCACAAAGUGAUUCAUCCUGGUUUGAUUGGAACGACGAAGAAGCUGUGCUAUUCCCAAACUGGGAAACUGGAAUCACCUGAUUUGAAAGUGGGAUAACUUCUUCAUCCCAACUCCUAUGAGAUUUAUUCAACUUCCUGGUGAUUCUCCACCACUUUAUGUAUCCAAAUCAAGCUUCUCACAAAGUGAUUCAUCCUGGUUUGAUUGGAACGACGAAGAAGCUGUGCUAUUCCCAAACUGGGAAACUGGAAUCACCUGAUUUGAAAGUGGGAUAACUUCUUCUUGCCAACUCCUAUGAGAUUUAUUCAACUUCCUGGUGAUUCUCCACCACUUUAUGUAUCCAAAUCAAGCUUCUCACAAAGUGAUUCAUCCUGGUUUGAUUGGAACGACGAAGAAGCUGUGCUAUUCCCAAACUGGGAAACUGGAAUCACCUGAUUUGAAAGUGGGAUAACUUCUUCUUGCCAACUCCUAUGAGAUUUAUUCAACUUCCUGGUGAUUCUCCACCACUUUAUGUAUCCAAAUCAAGCUUCUCACAAAGUGAUUCAUCCUGGUUUGAUUGGAACGACGAAGAAGCUGUCCUAUUCCCAAACUGGGAAACUGGAAUCACCUGAUUUGAAAGUGGGAUAACUUCUUCAUCCCAACUCCUAUGAGAUUUAUUCAACUUCCUGGUGAUUCUCCACCACUUUAUGUAUCCAAAUCAAGCUUCUCACAAAGUGAUUCAUCCUGGUUUGAUUGGAACGACGAAGAAGCUGUGCUAUUCCCAAACUGGGAAACUGGAAUCACCUGAUUUGAAAGUGGGAUAACUUCUUCAUCCCAACUCCUAUGAGAUUUAUUCAACUUCCUGGUGAUUCUCCACCACUUUAUGUAUCCAAAUCAAGCUUCUCACAAAGUGAUUCAUCCUGGUUUGAUUGGAACGACGAAGAAGCUGUGCUAUUCCCAAACUGGGAAACUGGAAUCACCUGAUCUGAAAGUGGGAUAACUUCUUCAUCCCAACUCCUAUGAGAUUUAUUCAACUUCCUGGUGAUUCUCCACCACUUUAUGUAUCCAAAUCAAGCUUCUCACAAAGUGAUUCAUCCUGGUUUGAUUGGAACGACGAAGAAGCUGUCCUAUUCCCAAACUGGGAAACUGGAAUCACCUGAUUUGAAAGUGGGAUAACUUCUUCUUGCCAACUCCUAUGAGAUUUAUUCAACUUCCUGGUGAUUCUCCACCACUUUAUGUAUCCAAAUCAAGCUUCUCACAAAGUGAUUCAUCCUGGUUUGAUUGGAACGACGAAGAAGCUGUGCUAUUCCCAAACUGGGAAACUGGAAUCACCUGAUUUGAAAGUGGGAUAACUUCUUCUUGCCAACUCCUAUGAGAUUUAUUCAACUUCCUGGUGAUUCUCCACCACUUUAUGUAUCCAAAUCAAGCUUCUCACAAAGUGAUUCAUCCUGGUUUGAUUGGAACGACGAAGAAGCUGUGCUAUUCCCAAACUGGGAAACUGGAAUCACCUGAUUUGAAAGUGGGAUAACUUCUUCAUCCCAACUCCUAUGAGAUUUAUUCAACUUCCUGGUGAUUCUCCACCACUUUAUGUAUCCAAAUCAAGCUUCUCACAAAGUGAUUCAUCCUGGUUUGAUUGGAACGACGAAGAAGCUGUGCUAUUCCCAAACUGGGAAACUGGAAUCACCUGAUUUGAAAGUGGGAUAACUUCUUCAUCCCAACUCCUAUGAGAUUUAUUCAACUUCCUGGUGAUUCUCCACCACUUUAUGUAUCCAAAUCAAGCUUCUCACAAAGUGAUUCAUCCUGGUUUGAUUGGAACGACGAAGAAGCUGUGCUAUUCCCAAACUGGGAAACUGGAAUCACCUGAUUUGAAAGUGGGAUAACUUCUUCAUGCCAACUCCUAUGAGAUUUAUUAAACUUCCUGGUGAUUCUCCACCACUUUAUGUAUCCUAAUCAAGCUUUUCACAAAGUGAUUCAUCCUGGUUUGAUUGGAACGACGAAGAAGCUGUCCUAUUCCCAAACUGGGAAACUGGAAUCACCUGAUUUGAAAGUGGGAUAACUUCUUCAUCCCAACUCCUAUGAGAUUUAUUCAACUUCCUGGUGAUUCUCCACCACUUUAUGUAUCCAAAUCAAGCUUCUCACAAAGUGAUUCAUCCUGGUUUGAUUGGAACGACGAAGAAGCUGUGCUAUUCCCAAACUGGGAAACUGGAAUCACCUGAUUUGAAAGUGGGAUAACUUCUUCAUCCCAACUCCUAUGAGAUUUAUUCAACUUCCUGGUGAUUCUCCACCACUUUAUGUAUCCAAAUCAAGCUUCUCACAAAGUGAUUCAUCCUGGUUUGAUUGGAACGACGAAGAAGCUGUGCUAUUCCCAAACUGGGAAACUGGAAUCACCUGAUUUGAAAGUGGGAUAACUUCUUCAUCCCAACUCCUAUGAGAUUUAUUCAACUUCCUGGUGAUUCUCCACCACUUUAUGUAUCCAAAUCAAGCUUCUCACAAAGUGAUUCAUCCUGGUUUGAUUGGAACGACGAAGAAGCUGUGCUAUUCCCAAACUGGGAAACUGGAAUCACCUGAUUUGAAAGUGGGAUAACUUCUUCUUGCCAACUCCUAUGAGAUUUAUUCAACUUCCUGGUGAUUCUCCACCACUUUAUGUAUCCAAAUCAAGCUUCUCACAAAGUGAUUCAUCCUGGUUUGAUUGGAACGACGAAGAAGCUGUGCUAUUCCCAAACUGGGAAACUGGAAUCACCUGAUUUGAAAGUGGGAUAACUUCUUCAUCCCAACUCCUAUGAGAUUUAUUCAACUUCCUGGUGAUUCUCCACCACUUUAUGUAUCCAAAUCAAGCUUCUCACAAAGUGAUUCAUCCUGGUUUGAUUGGAACGACGAAGAAGCUGUGCUAUUCCCAAACUGGGAAACUGGAAUCACCUGAUUUGAAAGUGGGAUAACUUCUUCUUGCCAACUCCUAUGAGAUUUAUUCAACUUCCUGGUGAUUCUCCACCACUUUAUGUAUCCAAAUCAAGCUUCUCACAAAGUGAUUCAUCCUGGUUUGAUUGGAACGACGAAGAAGCUGUGCUAUUCCCAAACUGGGAAACUGGAAUCACCUGAUUUGAAAGUGGGAUAACUUCUUCAUGCCAACUCCUAUGAGAUUUAUUCAACUUCCUGGUGAUUCUCCACCACUUUAUGUAUCCAAAUCAAGCUUCUCACAAAGAGAUUCAUCCUGGUUUGAUUGGAACGACGAAGAAGCUGUGCUAUUCCCAAACUGGGAAACUGGAAUCACCUGAUUUGAAAGUGGGAUAACUUCUUCAUCCCAACUCCUAUGAGAUUUAUUCAACUUCCUGGUGAUUCUCCACCACUUUAUGUAUCCAAAUCAAGCUUCUCACAAAGUGAUUCAUCCUGGUUUGAUUGGAACGAUGAAGAAGCUGUGCUAUUCCCAAACUGGGAAACUGGAAUCACCUGAUUUGAAAGUUGGGUAACUUCUUCAUCCCAACUCCUAUGAGAUUUAUUCAACUUCCUGGUGAUUCUCCACCACUUUAUGUAUCCAAAUCAAGCUUCUCACAAAGUGAUUCAUCCUGGUUUGAUUGGAACGACGAAGAAGCUGUGCUAUUCCCAAAUUGGGAAACCGGAAUCAACUGAUUUGAAAGUGGGAUAACUUCUUCUUGCCAACUCCUAUGAGAUUUAUUCAACUUCCUGGUGAUUCUACACCACUUUAUGUAUCCAAAUCAUGCUUCUCACAAAGAGAUUCAUCCAGGUUUGAUUGGAACGACGAAUAAGCUGUCCAAUUCCCAAACUGGGAAACUGUAAUCACCUGAUUUGAAAGUUGGAUAACUUCUUCAUCCCAACUCCUGUUGUUAACUUGAAGAGAAGAAAUGGAGAAACUAAAAGUGUUGAGUUGAGUUGGGGCUUGUGCAAAAGAUAGGGCAAGGUGUCCAGAAGUGUCCUGAUGGAUGUGCAAAGUUAGGGUCAAGUCUAGGAGAGACUUAGAAGUGUAUUUGGGAGCAAAUGAGCGAGUGUGCAAAGAUAGGGCGAGGCAGUACGGACAUGUACGGACAGUACGGAUCCGUACGGACCAGGGCGACCCAGAUUUGCAUAACUCGGCCAUUUGAGAAGUUUUGGAGUUGGUGCAAAAAAAUAGGGCGAACCUGACGUCCCGGGAAGGCUUGUGCAAUGUCUGGGCAAGGUUUAGGAGUUAUAAAAGUGGUCCCAGUCUUGUGGAUAAGGUUCUGAUCAGAUGGCAUCAAAGGAGAAUCAAGAAGAUGCCAUUGGAGUGUGAUUGGCUAGUUUGGUCUUCGGACAGGCUGGCCUUGGCUGUAAAGACAAGGGGAGCCACGACCAUGUACCUGGACUUAUCUCUGGAUAGAUUAGCAGGAGCCUAAGGAGAGCCAAUCACAGUUCAGCCUUCCCCAUUUUGAAUUAAACCAAUCAGACUCCAUCUCCUCUUAACCAAUCAGCAUCAACUACUCAGAUUGCAACAAGACCAGUUCAUCUACACCAUCCAUUCCUCUUAAGUGAUUUACAGCCAUUAGAUAUAGGUUUGUGAUGUCUCAGAUUGUAACAGCCUAUAUAAACAGAUGUAUGGACGAAAUUGUAACUCUUAAGAGAGUUAGGGGGAUUUCCCCUCUCCUUCAUGGAAAUGAAAAACUAGUUCUUGAAUCUGAAACUCUAAUCUCUAAACACUUAUUCUCUUAGUCUCUCAGUCUCUUAAUCUCAUUCUCUUUAGUCUCAUAAACACUUAAACACUCUCAUCAAUCUCUGUUCUCAAAUCACCUAAAACAAGCUCUUAUCUUUCUCCAUUGGAGUUUAUACACACACACAUACAACCAGAGUAGAGAUCUCUUUAAAAAUCACAUGGUAUCAGAGCCAGGUUCAUCUGAACUUGGUUCUUGCUUCCGCUGAAGCUCAUAGCUCUCCUCCAUGUCGCUUGAAGCCAAGAAGAAGCUCCAUGGUCCAGCCGGCUGUUCAACUCUUCAAGAAGAAGGUAUGCUCAUCCAUGGUGUCCAGAAGCUGUCUCUGGCUGAUCUACACUCUCUCAUGAAGCCCAUGAAGAAGAAAGAACCUUGGAAGCAAAGGGUUCUUAUUCACUGUCCAAGAAGAAAGGUGACAGCUUUCAGCUGGUCUUGGUGUGGCGAAUUCAACAUGAAGAAAGGUGUGGUCAUUGACAUGGAGAGUGCAAGAGAAAGGUCCAUGGGAGAAGGAGAAGUUGGAGUUGACACCAACAGCUCACUGUCUUGCCAUGAUCUAUGGAGUUUCAAGGAACUAACACUAGUUCCUUGGCUGUAAGAAACCUCUUUCUCUUGUAUAAAGCUUGAGUAUAUUGACUGGUUGUGAUGUGAUUGAAAACCUGAGGACUGUUUAAAAGAUUAUUAAAUGAAAUAAAAUGAAUUUAGAAUCUGUCCCAGGAUGCUUAAAGAGCUUGGUUCCCUAGUAAUCCUUUCAUUGUACUAGUUAUACUAAGUUUACUAGCAGUUGUGUAAGUGCUUUAAAAAGACUAGUAAUUAGCCAGUAUUACUAGGAUUACUAGGUAUGUUAAUAUGCUUAUCUCCAGUUCAUAAUGAUGCUUGUUGUGAUUGAUUGAAUCUGCUUGCAUACAUGGAUUGAAACCGAAUUGAAAGCUGUUGCAUAUAGUCUUGUGGCUGUCUUACAUUGAAGCAUUAGAUUCAUGUCUAACUGCUGAGUAAAGAAGCUUUAAAAUGCCUAAGUAGCUUGCAUAAACUGAAAAAGAAAAUGCUUGUGCUUAGAGAGAUUGCUUGCAAAGAUAGAACUUGAAAAUGACUUGUUUUAAUCUGUUGCAAUGCUUUUGAGAUUGGGAAUCAAACUUGAUGAUUAAUCAAGGAUUGAUCCCAAUACUCUUGUGUCUUAUCCUUGCUGGAGUUUGAGUGGUGUUUCAGGUUCACAAGAAGUUUUCUUUGCUCACCACCUAUCCAAGACAAGAGGAAGACUUGAACCAUUGUGUGGAGCAAUGGGAAGAUACUUGUGUGUAGAAGCUGGUUUAAGAAGCGCAGGCCACGAGGUUGUUGAGCUCCUGGUUCAAGACAUACAAGCGGAAGACCAACCAUUGUGUGGAGCAAUGGGAAGGUUCUUGUGUGUAGAAGCCGGUUUAAGAAGCGCAGGCCACGAGGUUGUUGAGCUCCUUGUUCAAGACACACAAGAAGAAGAAGGUCACCACCUAAGCCAUGAGGAAGGCCGGUGAUCUGAGGGUACUUGAAGCUGAAGGCAAAAGGGUGGAUCAGUGAUUUAAGCGCAGCUGUUAGGGUGAUGUGCUCCUGGUCUUGAAGUUCAUUGAGGCUCAUCUCAAGCUUGUGGUGGGGAUUCAAAUGACCAACCUGAAGAGCUAAAGUUCAAGACAUGUUUCCUCCUUAUCACUACAAGAGAAGGAUAAAAUGAAGCCUGUUGCCAACAUUCUGUGGGAAGUCCACAGCCUGCUCCAAAGAGGGUAGAGAGGAUGUUGUGACAAUGGAGAGAUGACUUGUGGUUCUGUCCAUGGUGGUUUAGUCACCAUAGCCUACACAUCAGAUGAGUGUAGAGAGGACAGUCGACAUACAAAGAAGAGCAUCACCAGGAGGGUGAUGCAAUUUAAACCAAGACCAUUGCAAGCUGAUCAUGGAGUGAUCCAGCCGAAGUAGAGGGAAGAAGAAAGCUACUCAAUAAGCUUCUGGUGUGAGAUGCUUGGAGAGUGAGCAUUGCAAGAGGGAUGGGCACACCAAGGAGAGGUGUUGGAUACUGAAUCCAAGCCUCAAACCUGCCAAGUUCAAGUGAACCGUGCCCAUGGAGGUUCAAGAGAUCAGCUCGGAUCUCUUGUUUGUAAGCAAACCUCCUAACCAUUAAUAAGCGCUUGUGUCUUUAUUUAUUGUGCUGUGAGUGGUGUCUAGAGUCCCAGAAUCUCAUGUUUUGUUUAUUGCAUUGUCUUGUGUGUUGCCAUAGCUUGAAUCAGAAUGAAUGUGUUGUAGAAUUGAGUAGAAUGUCUAUACUGCUUGCAUCAUGUUUGAAAAGCUGUUUUGCAUACAUAAGCAUGUCUCAUAUUGUCUAAGUUCAAUCCGAGUGUGUACUGUUGCUAAUGUUUAUGUUUAUUCCAAAAAUGAAAGUCUAGCAUCAAUUAGAAAGUGUCUAAGGUGCGUGCAUCAUUGGUCUUGAUUGAAACUGGUGUGCAUAGCUUUAAUAUGUCUCAUGGAUUGAACCUGUUGCAUUCAUGGAGUUAAUGCUUUAAGAUUGUGCAUUCAUGUAUUGAUGCAUUUAAAAAUGAGCCUAAAUUGUCAAUGUAUUGUAUAAAGCUUGCAUUGUCAUUUUAGAGAUUGAAAACUGCUUGUUCUUGCCUUAAUUGAUUGGCUUGUUUCAAGGUUUAUAUAUUGCUGUGGCAUUGGUGAUCAAACAGGAUAAAUUAUCUUGGUUUGAUCCCAAUGGGAUGAUCUGAUCUUGCAUUGAGUUGUGGUGGUGUUAGGUACACAAGGAAAGUGAUACAUGUAACUCACCAACAGCCAAGAAUGUAGAGACAAAGGUCUUGUGCCAUUGCAUAUCAUCACUAGGACAUGUUAGUCCAUAAUCUACAGGAAGUGUAGUGUGAUUGAGUAUGCAAUGAGAGAUGACCAUUGCAUAAUACCAUUUGACAUAUCUAGUCCUUAGUCUACAGGAAGUGUAGCAUGGGUCAUUAUGCAAUGAGAGGUGUGUCUUGUGAGACUCUCUAUGGUGAUUCAAACACCCUAGUUCCUGGUUAAGGAAGAGAGUAAACUCACAAGAAGAAAGCUAUCAUGAAAGAUGAUAGUUAUUAGACCAUGGAGAUGCAUAGGAUCAUCACAAGCUUAGCUCCUUCUAGUCUCGGUUCUAAGCUUGAGGGGGAGUCUUAAUGCAUAUGAUCCAUGGUCAGUAACAAGCCUUUUGCAAAAGCUUCUACAAGGAUCAUCAACCGGACCAAGUCAGUGGCGUGUCUAGGCAAGAGGCUGUUCAGAGCAGCCUUGGCGAGUGAGGAGGAAGGCUCUCCAUCAAUGCGGCUUCAAUGAGAGGUGAUUGAGGAGAAGCUGAUGAAUCCAUUCUGCCUUUCCAAGAAGUUGAUGAUGCCAUGAAGAUGGUGCAUUGGUCGAGUUUGGAAACUCACAAGAACACAAGGGAAGUUCCCUUAGACUUUUAAAACUCCUUUCAAUCUUUUUCAUUCAUCUUAUUCAUUGCUUGUGCUUGAAAAGAUACUUAAGAUGAUUAUGAUUGAAUUGUGAGAUUGUGUGCAUCAAAUGUGAUGCAGGAUAUUCAUUUUGAAUUGUGAGAUUGUGUGCAUCAAAUGUGAUGCAGGAUAUUCAUUUUCUUGUUUUUGAUAGGUACUGAUGCACCUUUGGGAUAAUGUAUCAGGUACCAUUGCUUGAGCCUCACUAAAGAUGUUCCUGGUCAGUUCCUAGCUUCUCUAAGAUGGCUGAGAAGUCUGUUGAGAGGGGGAGAUCCAAACCAGUUCUAUGAAGAGGGCAAGCCGUGUGUGAAGUGUUGAUCAGCCUCACUGGUGUUUUGAAGAUGAUCUGGCCGUGUCCUAGCUUCUCUAAGAAGGCUGUGAAGUCAGUUGAGAGGGGGAGACUUCAAACCGGUUCCAUGAAGAGGUGAAGCUGAGUUGUUGAGUGCGCAAAGUCUUGAUGAGUUGCUGCACCAGUUUAGGCCGUGAUCCAGAGCUUCUUGUGUCCAACCACACUGGUUCUAAGGCACAAGAGCUCACUGGCCAAUCCCUAGGCCUUGGAGACUUUACUCUUUUUCCCUCAUCAAGGUUUUGUCCCAAAGGGUUUUCCUUGGUGAGGUUUUUAAUGAGGAAGUUCUUCAAGGUUCCAAGCUUGACAUAGGAUCAACUAAAGUCAAGCUUGAGGGGGAGUGUUAACUUGAAGAGAAGAAAUGGAGAAACUAAAAGUGUUGAGUUGAGUUGGGGCUUGUGCAAAAGAUAGGGCAAGGUGUCCAGAAGUGUCCUGAUGGAUGUGCAAAGUUAGGGUCAAGUCUAGGAGAGACUUAGAAGUGUA